CGGGGCGUGGCGCAGUUUGGUAGCGCGCCUGGUUUGGGACCAGGAGGCCGGAGGUUCGAAUCCUCUCGCCCCGACCA
rnacentral:tRNA from 1 species